CCGUAGGUGAACCUGCGGAAGGAUCAUUAUUGAGUAAACUUGAACAGGCUGUUUUGCUGUCCCCUAGUAGGGGUACGUGCACGCUUGUCAUCUUUAUUUCUCCAACUGUGCACAUAUUGUAGACCUGAGGAGUUGGUUUGAGAUGGGACUGCUGCGCUUCAUUUUAUUUUUGAAGUCGGCUUUCCCUUUGCCUUUUUUUCUUUCAGGUCUAUGUCAUUUUUUCACAAACAUCUGUAUUCGUUUAGAAUGUUGAAUCAGGUUCUUGUACCUAUAAAAGUUAUAUACAACUUUCAGCAACGGAUCUCUUGGCUCUCGCAUCGAUGAAGAACGCAGCGAAAUGCGAUAAGUAAUGUGAAUUGCAGAAUUCAGUGAAUCAUCGAAUCUUUGAACGCAUCUUGCGCUCCUUGGUAUUCCGAGGAGCAUGCCUGUUUGAGUGUCAUUUAAGUUCUCAACCACAACGGAUUCUUUUUCUGGUGUGGCUUGGAUGGUGGGGGUUGCAGGCCUUUGAAACACAAAGUCGGCUCCCCUGAAAUGCAUUAGUAGUAUCUGAGCAGUACUAAAGGUGUGUGAUAAAUCUAUCUACGCCUUGGUGCGCUGCAUCGAAAGGAUUGCACUGCUUAUAACCAAAAAAACGUAAUGAUGAAUUUGACCUCAAAUCAGGUAGGACUACCCGCUGAACUUAA
rnacentral:rRNA from 1 species